GUUAAAAGGAGCCUUGGUGAUUAAAGAGGCUGUGGAGGAUACAGCCCUUGCUUAGCAGAUGAGCCUGCGUGCAUUUCCCGUUCCUUAAAAACUGAUUAAUUGAUGCUGCGGGGAGCACACGGUCUGCUAAUAAGAUGAUAAUAACAAAAAGGUAUCAGGAAAGGCAUUUAUGGCUUAUAACUGCCGUCUGAUUCCUUCCAAGAGAGAUUGCGGCUUUGUAGUGUAGUUUUCUCUUUUAAUAGUGAUAUGCUAAUGCUUUUUAUUCUAAAUCGGCCAACACUGAGUAUCUCCAGGAAAAAUGGGUUCCAUAAGAAGUGGCAUCCUCCUGGAAUUGAAAGGACAAUUUGGAACAUGAAGAUCAGAGAAGAUUAGAGACUUAGAGACAGUCUAUCUAGCCUAAAACUAUACAUUUGGGCUCACACCAUUUGAAGAAAAAUGAAACAAAUGGAAAAAACAAAAAACUUGAGAAGGUCAAAGAAUCCUACAUCUGGGAAUAUGGAAAAUGGUUAAAUUUGUGAACCAGAAGAAAUGAAAGAAAGUGUUUAGGAAAAA